rnacentral:rRNA from 1 species
UGGGGAAUAUUGCACAAUGGGGGAAACCCUGAUGCAGCGACGCCGCGUGGAGGAAGAAGGUCUUCGGAUUGUAAACUCCUGUUGCUGAGGAAGAUAAUGACGGUACUCAACAAGGAAGUGACGGCUAACUACGUGCCAGCAGCCGCGGUAAAACGUAGGUCACAAGCGUUGUCCGGAAUUACUGGGUGUAAAGGGAGCGCAGGCGGGAGAACAAGUUGGAAGUGAAAUCCAUGGGCUCAACCCAUGAACUGCUUUCAAAACUGUUUUUCUUGAGUAGUGCAGAGGUAGGCGGAAUUCCCGGUGUAGCGGUGGAAUGCGUAGAUAUCGGGAGGAACACCAGUGGCGAAGGCGGCCUACUGGGCACCAACUGACGCUGAGGCUCGAAAGUGUGGGUAGCAAACAGGAUUAGAUACCCUGGUAGUCCACACCGUAAACGAUGAUUACUAGGUGUUGGAGGAUUGACCCCUUCAGUGCCGCAGUUAACACAAUAAGUAAUCCACCUGGGGAGUACGACCGCAAGGUUGAAACUCAAAGGAAUUGACGGGGGCCCGCACAAGCAGUGGAGUAUGUGGUUUAAUUCGACGCAACGCGAAGAACCUUACCAAGUCUUGACAUCCCUUGACGAACAUAGAAAUAUGUUUUCUCUUCGGAGCAAGGAGACAGGUGGUGCAUGGUUGUCGUCAGCUCGUGUCGUGAGAUGUUGGGUUAAGUCCCGCAACGAGCGCAACCCUUAUGGUCAGUUACUACGCAAGAGGACUCUGGCCAGACUGCCGUUGACAAAACGGAGGAAGGUGGGGAUGACGUCAAAUCAUCAUGCCCUUUAUGACUUGGGCUACACACGUACUACAAUGGCGUUAAACAAAGAGAAGCAAGACCGCGAGGUGGAGCAAAACUCAGAAACAACGUCCCAGUUCGGACUGCAGGCUGCAACUCGCCUGCACGAAGUCGGAAUUGCUAGUAAUCGUGGAUCAGCAUGCCACGGUGAAUACGUUCCC